AAAUUAUAUGGUCAAGCGAAUAAGCGCAUACGGUGGAUGCCUAGGCAGUUGGAGGCGAUGAAGGACGUUGUAGCCUGCGAUAAGC
rnacentral:rRNA from 1 species